rnacentral:lncRNA from 1 species
AGUGCAACAAGACAAGAUAGGAGGAAGAAUGGGCAAGGGGAGCAUCCCCUUUCCCCAAAAGGGGGCUGGCCUGGCCAUAGGAGGCUGCCUCCCUCGCGGGCCCGGCAUCCCGACCGCACCGGCGUCACCAACGGUGACGACCGCCACCUGCGAAAGAAAAAAGAAGCAACGGUCCCUCCUCCCCCGUACUGAGGAGGAAGACAAUCUCCUGUCCGUCGGAUCUAGGGCUGGGUGCCCCCUUCUGCCGUCGGAUCUCCAUAACGUCCAGCGAACCGGUACCGGGCCCGUCUAGGCCGCGGGCCAAAAGCGGCCCAAAAUCAGCCUAGGUAAAAAAAAAGAAGGAAAGAAGAAAGGGAAGGAAGCCUGCUCACCUGAAGACGGCCCCGGCACGGGCCCAGUAUGCGCCCGCGCGCACGUGGCCGGCUCAGCUGACCCAAAGGCAUUCACAAUGCCUCCAGCUCAAAGGGGCUACUUUUGUAGUAAAAUAAAAUCCUUAUAUGGGCC